rnacentral:rRNA from 1 species
GACGAACGCUGGCGGCGUGCUUAACACAUGCAAGUCGAACGGAAAGGCCCUGCUUGCAGGGUGCUCGCGUGGCGAACGGGUGAGUAACACGUGGGUGAUCUGCCCCUUACUUUGGGAUAAGCCUGGGAAACUGGGUCUAAUACUGGAUAGGACCAUGCUGUAGGUGGUGUGGUGGAAAGAUUAGUUUCGGUAAGGGAUGAGCUCGCGGCCUAUCAGCUUGUUGGUGGGGUAAUGGCCUACCAAGGCGUCGACGGGUAGCCGGCCUGAGAGGGUGGACGGCCACAUUGGGACUGAGAUACGGCCCAGAAGCCUACGGGAGGCAGCAGAGGGGAAUAUUGUACAAUGGGCGCAAGCCUGAUGCAGCGACGCCGCGUGGGGGAUGACGGCCUUCGGGUUGUAAACUCCUUUCAGCCAUGACGAAGCCCUUGUGGUGACGGUAGUGGUAGAAGAAGCACCGGCUAACUACGUG